UUACGGCCGUAUCACUCUGAAACACUGGUUCCUGUUCGAUCGCCGAAGUUAAACAACGUCGAGCCUGUUAAGUACCUAGAUGGGUGACCGCUUGGGAGCACCAGGUGUUGUAAA